AUUGAACGCUGGCGGCAGGCCUAACACAUGCAAGUCGAGCGAGCGGCGGACGGGUGAGUAAUGUCUGGGAAACUGCCUGAUGGAGUGGGAUAACUACUGGAAACGGUAGCUAAUACCGCAUACCAUCAGAUGUGCCCAGAUGGGAUUAGCUUGUAGGUGGGGUGACGGCUCACCUAGGCGACGAUCCCUAUAUGGUCUGAGUGGAGGACCAGCCACACUGGAACUGAGACACGGUCCAGACUCCUACGUGAGGCAGCAGGGGGGAAUAUUGCACAAUGGGCGCAAGCCUGAUGCAGCCAUGCCGCGUGUAUGAAGAGGGCCUUCGGGUUGUAAAGUACUUUCAGCGGGGAGGCGUUACCAGCAGAAGAAGCAUCGGCUAACUCCGUGCCAGCAGCCGCGGUAAUAC
rnacentral:rRNA from 1 species